rnacentral:lncRNA from 1 species
UCCCUCAAAACGCCACUUUUUGCGGACCCGCACAAAAGAUUAUUGAUUUUAUACACCCAACAAAUAAAGAAACAUAUCGUGAUUACAUCACAAACCCAAUCCUUUCUCCCCUCCCCCGUCGAAGCCCCGACGCCUCAGGAGUCGCUCACCGCGGGCUAGGUCAUCGAGCGGGCACAUCCUUUCAUCGCGCGUAUGUCGACCUCACCCAACCCCAGAUGCGCAGGAUAGCUACGCCACGAGGACACCACCGCGCUGCCGUAGACCUCACCUGAUCCGGCCGAUCUGCAGCACCAUCACCACGCGGCCAGGACAUCGCCAUGAGCACACAUCACCACACGGCCGGGCCAAUCAACUACAUCAGCACUCAUCUCCAGUUGGAGUGCUGCCAUUGCCGACGACGUGCUAGGCGGCACCUUUGCAUCCAGGCAGCCAGCCCCACGAGAGCAGCUCCUCCCGCACUCAGGUACCUUCAUCCAUCCACUGUAGGUAGUUACGUAUUAUUCUGUGCCUUAUUUGCAUUGGAGACAUGGAACUGCUCCAGACGUGGAAAACAUAUUAAGGAACUAUCAAUGAAUCAGAACAGCAACUUUCAGUACAGUACAACUAACCUGAUUGAGAGCUCCAUUGGCAGCACGGUCAUAUAUAAGUUCACAUAAAAACAUGUUCAAACAUCUCGAGAAGGUCUGAACUUGCAAGAUCAUGCUGGAUUGGGUUUUUUUAGAUCCAGCUCCUUUAGGGAUGGACAAUAUUUGGGCUUUAGGCUCACAUCUUGGCCAGCCUUGAAGGUUGUUAAAUAACCCUUGCUAUCAACCUUCUCCAAGCCCAUUUUUGUUUGCUUGCUGCCAUAGCACAACAAUGAGGGUUCCUCAAGUAAAAAAAGAAUUGUAGCUACCAAAAACAUUCUGCGUGUACAAUAACUCUUGUCAUUGGAGAAAUCUUCAGUAUGUGUGCAAUGUGCAACUCAUGGGAAUAAGAAUGUUUGCCUCUACCUUUUAGAUUCAUAAGAGAGUAUUGUAUAAACAAAUGGUUAUCUCUUGCAUGAUGUUUUUCUCUCAGCUUUUUCUCAUACACACUGCUAUCUGGUAGCUUCACCUUUGGGGAUACGAACACACGCUUAACUUCAAGAUGAUAUUCAGUACCAAAUGAAUCACAUCUACCAAAUCUUUUUCACUGCUCCACUAUUUUCUUAGAUGUAUAUAACAUCACCUACUGUCCAUAUGUAGACAGUGUGAGUAACCUAAAGCAACAAAUGCAGAUAGUAGAGUUGGUACGGUAACCCAGAAAGCAAAUAUAGUGCAUGAGCUAUUAUUUUGUAGACAUUGACUUGAAUGAGAAAUCAACGUUCUUAUUACAUAGACAUUGACUUGAUUGAGAAAUCGCAUUCUUAUUAUAUAGACAUUGAUUUGACUUUCAAAUUGGACUGUUCUUCAGCUGUGGCCCUGAACAAAAUCCCUCAACUUAUUUAUUUUAGUUCGUUAAUCAGUGAACCGUUUGUACUAAAUUAGGAACAAAGCAAACACAUUUCUCAAUCCAAACAUCCGAAGCAAAAUCAUAAAUAAAUAAAUAAUAAAUAAAUUUACCACUGUUGCAUUGUGGCGAGGGAGUAGUUUCCAUCCAUGGGGAGCAUCGUGCCUGCGCACUAUUGCCUACUCACCGUCAGGGACCUUUGCCGAAUCUGGUUCGGCUCAGCCAUGGCUGGCUGGCUGCCGCCAGAGCCGACCAGGAGAAGAGGAGAGGGUGGCACAGAUCGAGUUCGCAUGACACCAUAUUCCAACACCCAAUGGUAGCACACACUCGCUGCCCUCCACGCCACAUAAUAAAAACAAAACAAGAGAAAUUGUUCAAAAAAUAUAGACCCAUAAGUAGGCUGGCAAAGUAAAAGCAUUAUGGUGAGUGAAAACUUGGAAACAAAAAGGCUGAAUGUAGAAAACAAAAAGCCCAUGCAAAAGAGAGCUCAAAACCAUAGACACAAUCAUUUCUCGAAUAGACCAUUUCUGAAAAAGAAAAAAGGGAGAAAAUGCAAGGAUAUUAGAAGCACAAUUAUUUUCUUAAUAACAUAUGAAUAGGCACUCCAAAAUAGGUAUUGGUGCAGGCACAUUCAUAAUCAUACCUAAACUAGCUACUUGAUCUGUAAUAUAUUAGAGAAAAUUUGCUCAUUGCCAUCAAAUUCUAUACUGUUUUCCUCAUUGCCAUAAAAAAUAAUAGCUUUCCUUAUCGGCCAUUAAUUUGGUUUUUUUGUUUCCUCAACUGCCAUCACCAUUACAUAUAUGUAUUUUCUUUUCUUAACUGCCAUCUAAUUACAUAGUUUUUUUCCUUCAAUGCCAUCACCGUUAUGUAAUACGUGUGUGUCCAUGUUACUUUGGAAGGAGAGUCACAGUUGUGCCCCUGCCACUGACCUGAUGAAGGCCCAAACCUCUCGUUCCCUUCCCAGACUGAUGAACUCAGCAGUGUGAAAAAAAUAGAUGGAGAAAUCGCCGAAGCGUACCCUAGGUCCCCGCGGCUCGCACAUCCCCAUGCCUGCUCCACCGCCCGCACCCAAUCCUGAUCUCGCCCAAGCCUGAUCCCCCUUGCCCGCACCGGAUCUCGCUCGCCCGCGUGCGACCGCCGCCAUUCGCAGGGCCAUGCACCGCCGCUCCCACCCGCGAGACCAGGCGUCGCCGCCGCCACCGGCGCGAUCGAGUACCUGGAUAAGUGGGAUGUUAGAAGAACAAUCUCAAGAAAGAUUCAAGGGAUUAUUCUACCACACAUCGUCAAGACAUUGAAGGAGCAAAGCAGAAACUUGGAUAUGGAUGUACAAAGAAAUGGGGAUACCGUAGCAGAGGUAUCUGUGAAGGGUGGCAGUGGCUUCAAAUGUGUUGUCAACCUAGAAGCAAGAACCUGUACAUGUAGGAAAUGGCAAGUCUCAGGGAUUCCUUGCAAACAUGCUAUUGCAUUCAUUACAUCUCUUGCAGAACAAUUGGAGAAACAUGUUGACAUGUAUUAUUCUGUUGAGAAAUUUGGAGCAGCGUAUGAGGACCUUAUAUCUGCCAUACCUGACAAGUCUCAGUGGCUGAAAUCUGACCAUGGUUUCUUUAUGAAGCCACUGCUUCUAAAACCUACGGCUGGUAGAAGGCAGAAAGAGAGAAAAAAAAGAUGUACUGAGGGUGGUAGCAGCACGACAAAGAAGAAAGGGUCACAUCAGUGCCCCAUCUACAAGGGAUAUGGCCACCGCUGGUAUAACUGCAAGUACGGUGACCCUGAUGAUAUAGCAGCCAUGCUAGCUGAGAAGUAAGCAUGCUGACAUUGCUCAUCUUUAAUUUUUUUUGCCACUUGUUAUUAAUUCCAGGUUGCCGCCAUUUUAAUUAUUGGAUGUGAUUCAUAAAAUGCAGGGGGGAACCAAAGAGGAGGAAGAAAACAAUUGAACCAUCAUGUGAGAGUAGUAUUGUCCCAGUUAAAGCCGGACCUAAAACAAUGCAAUUUCCUUCUAGGUAUGCCUCUAUGCACUUACAGAUUUCACAUGUUAUAUUCAUAUUUGUUAUUCUUAAAAAUGUAUCCUUUUUUUAUAUUACAGCCAAGGUGCUUCAGUUAACUUAAAUUCUGGAAACUCUCUCAGCUAUGCUGAAAUUGCAAAACUCCAAUUCUUGAUUAUAGUAUAUGAUAUUAUCCUCUGAAAUUGUAAAACUCUCUCACAUGCAUGUAAGUGGCUCAAACCAACCUGAUCUGCUUGCCAUUGAGUACCCUUCCAUGUCUUUAGGUGAAACGACACCACCACCUUCCACAUCCACACCUAUAGAACAGAAAAUGGAUAAAAGAAAAGCUAAGGCACAAGUGAACAAGAAGAAAAAUAUGGUUCCAGUGCCACCAGAUAGUCCAGCUAUGGCGAGCAAGACUCCUCUAAACCAAAGCCCUGCUGCACACACUAGAAGCAAGAGGAAACUUCUAGAUCUUAAUUUGUAGUUUAUGCAUAUCAUCUAUGUGGCUUGUGAUGUUAAUAGUGUAGCUGCCUUAUUUUGCUUGCUAUGCAAACUUAUGGCUGCUUAUUUUGCUUAGCGAGAAUGAGCCAAGUUGCAGACUAUAUAGACAAUGAUGGCUGGUUGAACUUGCUCUUUUGCUUGGUCUGUGAACUAAUGAAUUGCUACUUUGCUCGGUGAACCAAUGGACAUCUAAUAGUGUAUGCCUAAUGUCAUUUUAAUUGUGUUAAAAAUAUGUUGCUUUAAUGUUGCCUCUCAUGUGUCUAUAGUAUUUGUUGUUGUCAUACCUCCUGUAUAUCGUUCUGGACAUCAAUGGCAAGCAAGGAAUUCUUGGACAAAUUUUUUGGAGGGGUAAAGCUGUCAUCCCCAUCCAGUCUAACUGCAGAUUGCUAACAGAAUAGGCAGUUGCCCUAAACCCUGGGCUUGUUCACGGUAAUGGCAGUUGAGGAAACAAAAAACCCAAAUUGAUGGCAGAGAAGGAAAGCGAUUAUUUUUUUAUGGCAAUGAGGGAAGCAGUAUAGAAUUUGAUGGCUAUGAGCAAAUUUUCUCACUAUAUUAACUCAAAACUAAUCAGAAGCUAAAAUUUCUAUAUACAACAACUCCAAAAAUUAUAAAUAGAACAAAGCCAGGAUAAUGUGAGAGAAAGGAUAAAAUCUAGAAGCUUCACAUACGAGAUUUUUAUUGUGCACUCUUAGUUAAGAUCUACAAGCAUGUAGGCACAAACAGAUAGAAUCAUAUGCCCAAAAGGCCAAAAGCAAUCUCACAUACCACAACAUUCCUAACAAAUCCGAAUAUGUAAAGCACAUUCUACACCUUAACUUCCUCAAGAAGCUUCUUCUCCCACAUGUACAACUUAUGUAGUGUUUAGGUGAGGUUGUCGGAUCCCAUCGCCUUGUCCUCUUCAAAACAUAGAAACUCCUCCAUUGUCGGUAUACCACAAACCAUCAUUGCAGAGUCUAAAUGCCAAUUGUUUCAAAUUAGUAUUCGUACUGCUAAGUGUGCAGUAAAAUUAAAAGUAUUAUUGCAAAUGUGAAAUAAGAUUUACCGACCUUUGAAACCUGAACUCUUCUGGUAGUAAGGCAUAUUUCCAACCUCAAGCAUCUUGAAUACCUCACCGCCUCAUUAGAGAGGCAUGAUCUAAUUGAGUUCUGAUCUCUAUCACCACUUAGUGUCAUCAAUGUAUACCUUCUCUGAUCCCACUCCCUGUUGUAGCCGGUAGGAGGUGAUAGCCACUCCAGAUCUGCUCGCCUCAGUGCCUGCCCACUCGCUAGCUGCUCCCCAUCUAGAUUCGCCCCACCUGUUGCUGCUGUGACUGGGCUCUUCUGCUGUGAGGAGAGGGAGGAAUAAAAAGUGGUUCUUGUAGGCGGCAGGCAGCCGGCUGCUCUGGUCGGUCGGGUCGCCAUGGGGUACGACCAGUCCAAGAUGGAGGAGUAUGCGGUGCGCCACUGCCGGGUGCGCUCCGAGCUCCAGAUGCUGGCCAUUCACCAGCGCUACAUGCUCGCCGACAUGCACCACACCUAUGUCCAGUUGCUGCGCUCCAUCACCGCCUUGCUCCACAACUUCCUCCGGAGGGCCCAGUGGCUGCCGCCGCUACUGCCCGAGCUCGUGCUCCGCCUCCUACAAAUCUGGAAGAAGGGUGAAGGGAGAGCCACCUCGGACAGUCAGAGAGGAGGAAGCGGGGAGGAAGCGAGAGAGCCAAGAGCUCAAGAAGCGGAGAAUUUGAGGAAGGGGAUUGGUACGGACAGGAGAGAGCCGAGGGAGAGUUGACGGGCGGAUAAGGAUGGGCCCAGUACGCAUGCGUGUGUGAGUAUUUAUUACUUUCUCCUUUUUUCUUUUAUAUUAUUAUCAUAUAGACAUAUAUAUUAUUGUAGUGCUUAUAUAAACAAGCAGUGAUGUAUAUAUUAUAUUUCCCGAGUUUCUAGAUCAGUCCCUGGGCUGAUGAUAUAAAUGGUGGUUGCAGUCAAAGUAAGAUUUCCACAUAUGGUGUUUUUACCAUUGAGAAUCUUGGACACCUACCAAUAGCAAUAGUGAUAAAAUGUUGAAUUUGUCAUGGAAAAUUUGUUACAACUGUUCAUCAAUACAAAUUGUCACUUUUUAUUGUCAGGGUAGAGCUGUGCAGUAUAAAUAUGAUUGGUCGUGGUAAUCUCUAACAUAGCUAUUUGCUCCUUGCAACAGGGCACUAACUAUACUUCCAAUUAGUUUUUAUUUUUAUUUUUAUCAGACAUAAUAGCAGUAUGGUUUCACGUAAUUGCUGAUAGUAAAUUUUGCCACAUACACUUAAUGGAUAUCUUAUUGUACAAUAUAUAUCUACGUAGAAUAGAUCUAAAGUCACGCAUAUUUAUACGGUGAGUAUAACGUAUUUUGUUUUAAGGUUUUGUGGGAAAAUUUUCAAAACACGUAGUAUUAUCCAUGUGGUAGACACUUAUAUUUACAUAUGUAUAGAAUUGCAAGGAGAUAUAGUGGAAUUUAUUCGUGGAUUUAUUGGCGCAUGAAAAAAAUAGACAUAUGAGAUUUCUAUACAAUACAGUUUGUGAGCUUGUGACUCUGUGUUCUCAAUGACUGUUAAUUUUAUAAACUUUAUUUUUUUACUAAACAGAACUUUAAUAUUGGUAUUUAAUUUUUACUAUAUGUUAUUUUAUGGUGCGAUUCAUGUGAUUUUAGUAUAUAAUAUUAGUUAUUCCGUAACAACGCACGGGCACGCUACCUAAUAAGUUAAAAAGAAGGAUAGGAAGCCGCUUCUUGUGAAAUCCACUCCGAGCAUCCACAGCCGUACCAUUGAAGAUCGAAUGGCUAAUACUAAUCCGGGUGACGUGGAACCAGCUUCUCAAACUGGAAGCCACCGGAGAAUAUAAGGGAGAAUACCACGCAUCCCUAGGACGUCAUUGCCG